GACGAACGCUGGCGGCGUGCUUAACACAUGCAAGUCGAACGGAAAGGCCCUGCUUUUGUGGGGUGCUCGAGUGGCGAACGGGUGAGUAACACGUGAGUAACCUGCCCUUGACUUUGGGAUAACUUCAGGAAACUGGGGCUAAUACCGGAUAGGAGCUCCUGCUGCAUGGUGGGGGUUGGAAAGUUUCGGCGGUUGGGGGUGGACUCGCGGCUUAUCAGCUUGUUGGUGGGGUAGUGGCUUACCAAGGCUUUGACGGGUAGCCGGCCUGAGAGGGUGACCGGCCACAUUGGGACUGAGAUACGGCCCAGACUCCUACGGGAGGCAGCAGUGGGGAAUAUUGCACAAUGGGCGGAAGCCUGAUGCAGCAACGCCGCGUGCGGGAUGACGGCCUUCGGGUUGUAAACCGCUUUCGCCUGUGACGAAGCGUGAGUGACGGUAAUGGGUAAAGAAGCACCAGCUAACUACGUG
rnacentral:rRNA from 1 species